rnacentral:rRNA from 1 species
UACGGAGGGUGCAAGCGUUAAUCGGAAUUACUGGGCGUAAAGCGCACGCAGGCGGACAUUUAAGUCAGGUGUGAAAGCCCCGGGCUUAACCUGGGAAUUGCAUUUCAUACUGGGAGUCUAGAGUCAUUUAGGGGGGGGUAGAAUUCCAGGUGUAGCGGUGAAAUGCGUAGAGAUGUGGAGGAAUACCGAUGGCGAAGGCAGCCCCGUGGAAAAGGACUGACGCUCAUGUGCGAAAGCGUGGGGAGCAAACAGG